rnacentral:rRNA from 1 species
UGGGGAAUAUUGGGCAAUGGGCGAAAGCCUGACCCAGCAACGCCGCGUGAAGGAUGAAGUAUUUCGGUAUGUAAACUUCGAAAGAAUAGGAAGAAUAAAUGACGGUACUAUUUAUAAGGUCCGGCUAACUACGUGCCAGCAGCCGCGGUAAUACGUAGGGACCAAGCGUUGUUCGGAUUUACUGGGCGUAAAGGGCGCGUAGGCGGCAAUUCAAGUCAUCUGUGAAAUCUCCGGGCUUAACUCGGAACGGUCAGAUGAUACUGCUUUGCUAGAGUGCAGAAGGGGCAAUCGGAAUUCUUGGUGUAGCGGUGAAAUGCGUAGAUAUCAAGAGGAACACCUGUGGCGAAGGCGGCCACCUGGUUGGAUACUGACGCUGAGACGCGAAAGCGUGGGGAGCAAACAGGAUUAGAUACCCCAGUAGUCCCUGAGCGGGCUGGCAAGGCGCAU